AUUGCGUCAAUAACAAUUGAAAUAGUCUCUAGCCGAUUUACAGAGCCCAGAGCCUGAACCCCCUGGAGCAAGCCCCAAGGUGUCUGCACCGCGUGAGAAGAGGUGUAUCCAGGACUCCUGCACUGCUGUGUACCCCCAGAUACUGCACAGAUAACUGGGUGUGUCUGGGAGUGUGCUGUCCUGUCACACAAUAUGUGCCAUGUUUAGGGGCCUGUCUGGAGCCAUUCGUUGCCAUGGUGGCAUACAUACAUACCUGGUAGUCAUGGUGAUUGUAGGAGUACGCUGGGUUGUGGGGGUGUUACAGAGGUAGUCAUGGUGAUUGUAGGAGUACGCUGGGUUGUGGGGGUGUUGCAGAGGUAGUCAUGGUGAUUGUAGGAGUACGCUGGGUUGUGGGGGUGUUACAGAGGUAGUCAUGGUGCAUCCUGGAAGGGCUAUCGUGGCAUACAAGGCGAGACUUGACAGACUUGCUAGUUUCCUAACUGAUUUAUUUCAAAAAUACAAUUGGCAACUUUUUAAAAGCUGUUCUUGGUGUGUUGCAGCUUAUGCUUAGAGAGAAAUGAUAAAUAUUGCAAGACAAUUUGAGGCAAGUUUUGUAGGAACAUACCACAUUAUGAAACCAAUGAGAUUUUCAUAUUUAUUCUUUGGCCAUAAAGAAACUUGUACUGGCACAACAAGAAAGAAAAGAAAAUAUAUAUAUAUAUACACAUACACAUUUAUGUAAACGUAUGAAUAUAAUUCACAGAGAGGUAUUAAUGCAGAAGGACCAUGCCUCCCAAGAGCAGAAAUGUGAGGCCCUGACAUAAUAGGUUCAAGCAUAAUAAAUGAUCGACAAGAGUUCUUCACUGAGAGACACACAAGAGGUAUGAAUCCCUCUACUCUCUAUGGUCCCCUGGAUCCCUCUACUCUCUAUGGUCCCCGAGGGCACUGACACUAAAUGAUCCACAGAUGAAGACUGGCCAUUACUCAUCACUGAUAUGAAAUAAACAACAGGUAACUCUUUCAUGCUACAAUAACACACUUAAUAACACUAGAACUCCAACACAUGUCUAAUCAUGUCACCUCCUGCCUGCCUCUCACACACACACACACACACACUACAUUCCACAUUUCUGACCAUAUCUGACUUUGAUCAGCAAGUUUAACAGUGAACCUAAAAUGAUCCUGAGCAGACUCAGCAAACAGUCAGUAUAAUGGCACUGUUUCAGGUCAAAUAAAUAGCACCAUCAAUCAA
ensembl:lncRNA